rnacentral:rRNA from 1 species
GAUGAACGCUGGCGGCGUGCCUAAUACAUGCAAGUCGAGCGAACAGACGAGGAGCUUGCUCCUCUGACGUUAGCGGCGGACGGGUGAGUAACACGUGGAUAACCUACCUAUAAGACUGGGAUAACUUCGGGAAACCGGAGCUAAUACCGGAUAACAUGUUGAACCGCAUGGUUUAACAGUGAAAGACGGUCUUGCUGUCACUUAUAGAUGGAUCCGCGCCGCAUUAGCUAGUUGGUAAGGUAACGGCUUACCAAGGCAACGAUGCGUAGCCGACCUGAGAGGGUGAUCGGCCACACUGGAACUGAGACACGGUCCAGACUCCUACGGGAGGCAGCAGUAGGGAAUCUUCCGCAAUGGGCGAAAGCCUGACGGAGCAACGCCGCGUGGGUGAAGAAGGUCUUCGGAUCGUAAAACUCUGUUAUUAGGGAAGAACAAAUGUGUAAGUAACUAUGCACGUCUUGACGGUACCUAAUCAGAAAGCCACGGCUAACUACGUG